rnacentral:rRNA from 1 species
UAGUCCACACCGUAAACUAUGUUCACUCGAUGUUGGCUAAAUAUUGUCAGUGUCCAAGCGAAAGCGUUAAGUGAACCACCUGGGGAGUACGCCGGCAACGGUGAAACUCAAAGGAAUUGACGGGGGUCCGCACAAGCGGAGGAACAUGUGGUUUAAUUCGAUGAUACGCGAGGAACCUUACCUGGACUUAAAUGUAGGUUGACAGGACUAGAGAUAGUUUUUUCUUCGGACAAUUUACAAGGUGCUGCAUGGUUGUCGUCAGCUCGUGCCGUGAGGUGUCGGGUUAAGUCCCAUAACGAGCGCAACCCCUAUUCUUAGUUACCAGCACGUAGAGGUGGGGACUCUAAGAAGACUGCCUGGGUAACCAGAGAGGAAGGUGGGGAUGACGUCAAAUCAGCACGGCCCUUACGUCCAGGGCUACACACGUGUUACAAUGGUCGGUACAAAGGGCAGCUACCUGGCGACAGGAUGCUAAUCUCAAAAACCGGCCUCAGUUCGGAUCGGAGUCUGCAACUCGACU